rnacentral:rRNA from 1 species
CGCCCAACAGCUAGCUCAACCCCUCAAACACAACAACCCACUAUUCCUAACCCCUAAUAACCUAAAGACCUUUAACCAAAUCAUUUUACCACCCAAGUAUGGGAGACAGAAAAGGACAUCAGAAGCAAUAGCAACAGUACCGCAAGGGAACGCUGAAAGAGAAAUGAAACAAAUCAGUAAAGCAUAAAAAAGCAGAGUUUAACGCUCGUACCUUUUGCAUCAUGAUUUAGCAAGAAAACAUCAAGCAAAAAGAGUUUUAGUUUGAUACCCCGAAACCAAGUGAGCUACUCCAAGACAGCCUUAUAGGGCGAACCCGUCUCUGUGGCAAAAGAGUGGGAAGAGCUUUGAGUAGAGGUGAUAGACCUACCGAACUUGGUUAUAGCUGGUUGUCCAGGAAAUGAACAGGAGUUCAGCCUUUUGCCCUCUUCCCCCACUACUGGCUACACCUUAAGCCCCCAAGAGGACAAAAGAGUUAGUCGAAGGGGGUACAGCCCCUUUGAAAAAGACACAACUUUCCCAGAAGGGUUAAGAUCAUAACAUCAGUUAAGGGAUAGUGUUAUAGUUGGCCUAAAAGCAGCCACCCACACAGAAAGCGUUAAAGCUCAUACACUGCCUUUCCCCCAUUAUUCGGACCACACCAUCUUACCCCCCUAAACAUACUGGACCUAUUCCAUCCGCAUAUGGAAGAGAUUAUGCUAAUAUGAGUAAUAAGAGACCCAGAAUCUCUCCCCGCACGAGUGUACAUCGGAACGAACCGACACCGAAAAUUAACGGCCCCAAAAAAGAGGGAACUGAAACAUAAUGGCCAAGCCACUAGAAAACCGCUCAUCCCCCACCGUUAACCUCACACCAGAGUGCAUACAAGGAAAGACUAAAAGAAAAAGAAGGAACUCGGCA